ensembl:lncRNA
GUUCUACUCAACAGCUCGACGCUGCUCCGCUAAACGCAAUAUGUAUGAAUGCCCUGACUUCUGCAGAGGCCGUAUCACCAUAAAUGCUUCAGUGCCAAUGCAGACGCCAGAUUAACCAUGUAUCCUUUUAGGCUGUGACAACGAAAAGGUAGCAGACAGAUCUACAGUAUGUUUUAGCAUGGUUGUGACAACGAAAAGGUAGCAGACAGAUCUACAGUAUGUUUUAGCAUGGCUGUGACAACGAAAAGGCAGCAGACAGAUCUGCAGUAUAUUUUAGCAUGGAAGUUUGGUAGGGUGACCGGAUUUGUAACUGAAAAUAAUUUAGCAAACAGACUGUGAACCGAAAAGUGUAUGUUUGAUUCUAGAGGGGGACAAUAAAUAAUUUGGUUAGGGUGUAGAGGCAGAUAUGUCAUCUUGUUUUCAGGAGAUUUUAUUAUCUAUUUACAUGAUUUAGUCUGAUCAGUGGAAC